GCAGCGGCGGAGCAUUGGUUAAUGGACGCAACGGGAGAACUUACCAAGGCUUGACAUACACCGGAACGUCUGGAGACAGGCGCCCCCUUGUGGUCGGUGUACAGGUGUGCAUGGCUGUCGUCAGCUCGUGUCGUGAGAUGUUGGGUAAGUCCCGCAACGAGCGCAACCCUUGUCCCGUGUUGCCAGCAGGCCCUUGUGGUGCUGGGGACUCACGGGAGACCGCCGGGGUCAACUCGGAGGAAGGUGGGGACGACGUCAAGUCAUCAUGCCCCUUAUGUCUUGGGCUGCACACGUGCUACAAUGGCCGGUACAAUGAGCUGCGAUACCGUGAGGUGGAGCGAAUCUCAAAAAGCCGGUCUCAGUUCGGAUUGGGGUCUGCAACUCGACCCCAUGAAGUCGGAGUCGCUAGUAAUCGCAGAUCAGCAUUGCUGCGGUGAAUACGUUCCCGGGCCUUGUACACACCGCCCGUCACGUCACGAAAGUCGGUAACACCCGAAGCCGGUGUCCAACCCCUUUGGGAGGGAGCUUCGAAGGGGAU
rnacentral:rRNA from 1 species